rnacentral:rRNA from 1 species
AAACCUCCUUUAACUUGUUUCCGGGGAGACGGAAAUCUAACGCGUGAAAUCUGGCUUCAGGUCUGGGACAACCACUGGAAACGGUGGCUAAUACCGGAUGUGCCGAGAGGUGAAAGGCUUGCUGCCUGAAAAUGAGCUUGCGUCUGAUUAGCUAGUUGGUGGGGUAAGAGCCUACCAAGGCGACGAUCAGUAGCUGGUCUGAGAGGAUGAUCAGCCACACUGGGACUGAGACACGGCCCAAACUCCUACGGGAGGCAGCAGUGGGGAAUUUUCCGCAAUGGGCGAAAGCCUGACGGAGCAAUACCGCGUGAGGGAGGAAGGCUCUUGGGUUGUAAACCUCUUUUCUCAGGGAAGAAAAAAAUGACGGUACCUGAGGAAUAAGCAUCGGCUAACUCCGUGCCAGCAGCCGCGGUAAUACGGAGGAUGCAAGCGUUAUCCGGAAUGAUUGGGCGUAAAGGGUCCGCAGGUGGCUGUGUAAGUCUGCUGUUAAAUAGUCAUGCUCAACAUGAUAAAGGCAGUGGAAACUACAUAGCUAGAGUGCGUUCGGGGCAGAGGGAAUUCCUGGUGUAGCGGUGAAAUGCGUAGAUAUCAGGAAGAACACCGGUGGCGAAAGCGCUCUGCUAGGCCGCAACUGACACUGAGGGACGAAAGCUAGGGGAGCGAAUGGGAUUAGAUACCCCAGUAGUCCUAGCCGUAAACGAUGGAUACUAGGCGUGGCUUGUAUCGACCCGAGCCGUGCCGUAGCUAACGCGUUAAGUAUCCCGCCUGGGGGAGUACGCACGCAAGUGUGAAACUCAAAGGAAUUGACGGGGGGCCCGCACAAGCGGUGGAGUAUGUGGUUUAAUUCGAUGCAACGCGAAGAACCUUACCAAGACUUGACAUGUCGCGAAUCUUCUUGAAAGGGGAGAGUGCCUUCGGGAGCGCGAACACAGGUGGUGCAUGCUGUCGUCAGCUCGUGUCGUGAGAUGUUGGGGUGAGG